CACUGCUACUCCUACUGCUCUCUCCUCGUCUGCCCACGUGUUCUCGCAUACCCCGAGAGCAUCUGGCCAGCGGGGUGCUGGCACUGGAAUCCUCAUCUCUCCCAAGUGGACAUUCUCUCUUUCUCCCCUGACCCAUCUGUCUANNNNNNNNNNNNNNNNNNNNUUCAUGUAAUUCUAAUUCUGAAGAUGAAUAAGAACAUUUAGGCAUUAGAGUAAAUACAUUGAAGCAAGGUGUUAGGUUGUGAACAGAGUAUGAACUCAAACGGAUGCAGAGAAAAGCUCAAACCAAGUUUAUUCAGCCCACUGAAUGCUGCAUCUGCAUAGCAUAGCUUGUACAUAACCAAUCAAUCAUUUAUUACAGUAUGUCAAGUUAAGGGUGUGACUUCUCAGAAAUGUUCAUCUGUUUCCCAGAACUGCCUGUUGGGCUGUUGUUGAGCGGCUGGUAUCACCCUUCUCCCAUUAUCCCCCACGUUGUUCCACCUCCACUUCUGGGAGGAACCAGGUGGGGCCACAGAGCAGGUAAGUACAGAUUCUUCUCCAGUGACGACAAUGCCAAUGUGAUACUACCUCUGUUACACUGAACACAUAUCCUAGAUCUAGAGGAACUUGAUUUACAAGUAGCAGAAUGUUCUGUAGGUGUUAUGAUUGGGGUGAUGUGUGUUCCAGCUUCCACUGCCAACAAGGAACACAACUGCUUAACAAAUUACAUUGGUGUCAACCAUACUUUUAUUCAGUCUAAUCCAGCUGAACCCAGUUUUACCUGUUGUAAAUCUUUGUUUUAUCAAUACAAACUGUGCCUAAAGUUUCCUGAAAUAUAUUUGAGACUUUAACAGUUGGUAUUAAAUCAGUACAUCUGUUGUCUUGUUUUGUUUGUUCAUCAUGUUUUGACCUCCAGACUCCCCCAUCUCAUCCCACCAACUCUGUCAGUCCAGCAGGCCCCACAAUGCAGCCUCCACACCACUGCAGUAACAGCCAUAUCUUCCCAUCACAAAGCUUCAGUACUGUCUCAAUGUGUUGAAGUACCAUCCAGGAUCCUGUGGCAACGUCAAUGUGAAACAGCAUUGACCCGUGAUCACCACCAACCAGGGCUCCACAGCGGUAUCCUUGGACACCCAGUGAAUCCAGAGAGAGCACACCAGGCAGCAUUGAGCACUUUGAUGAGAUUGGCUGUUCAGCAGGAAGAUUCAUCUGGCUACACAGAAGGGAUGAUGGCUCUGACCAAUAAAAUUAUAUUUUUGAAACUAUAUAACUGAAUAAACUAUGAUUUAACUAAAAACAUAUUUCUGUUUUGGUUAGUAAUUAUUGCCUUAUUUCACUGUAGAGCCUCUAGCCCUGCUGAAUACGCCUUAUUUAUCCAUCCUACAAGUGUUUAGCAGAUGUUAUUGCGGGUGUAGCAAAAUGCUUGUGUUUCUAGCUCCAUCAGUGCAGUAAUAUCUAACAAUACACACAAAUCUAAGUAUAGGAAUGGAAUUAAGAAUAUAUAAAUAAAUGGGCGAACAAUGUCAGAACGGCAUAGACUAAGACACAGUAGUAUAGUAUAGAAUACAGUAUAUACAUAUGAGAUGAGUAAUACAUAGACUAAGACACAGUAGUAUAGUAUAGAAUACAGUAU
rnacentral:lncRNA from 8 species